UCCGGUUUGUCACCGGCAGUCUCCCUAGAGUGCCCGGCCGAACCGCUGGCAACUAAGGACAAGGGUUGCGCUCGUUACGGGACUUAACCCAACAUCUCACGACACGAGCUGACGACAGCCAUGCAGCACCUGUCUCAGAGUUCCCGAAGGCACCAAUCCAUCUCUGGAAAGUUCUCUGGAUGUCAAGACCUGGUAAGGUUCUUCGCGUUGCAUCGAAUUAAACCACAUGCUCCACCGCUUGUGCGGGCCCCCGUCAAUUCAUUUGAGUUUUAACCUUGCGGCCGUACUCCCCAGGCGGUCUGCUUAUCGCGUUAGCUGCGCCACCGAAACCUCAAGGAUCCCAACGGCUAGCAGACAUCGUUUACGGCGUGGACUAC
rnacentral:misc_RNA from 1 species